rfam:Rattus norvegicus chromosome 7, whole genome shotgun sequence.
UACUCAUGCUAAUGGUGUCACGGAAGAAGCGAUGUAUCGACAGCUCAGGAUGGCUGCAGGGGACAUAUUCAGACGUGGCCCAGAUUGUCUGCCCAUGGGGACUGAGAUACCUCUGAGAU